rnacentral:rRNA from 1 species
UACGAAGGGGGCUAGCGUUGCUCGGAAUCACUGGGCGUAAAGGGUGCGUAGGCGGGUCUUUUAAGUCAGGGGUGAAAUCCUGGAGCUCAACUCCAGAACUGCCUUUGAUACUGAAGAUCUUGAGUUCGGGAGAGGUGAGUGGAACUGCGAGUGUAGAGGUGAAAAUUCGUAGAUAUUCGCAAGAACACCAGUGGCGAAGGCGGCUCACUGGCCCGAUACUGACGCUGAGGCACGAAAGCGUGGGGGAGCAAACAGGGAUUAAGAAACCC